UUCGCAAUGCCCGAAAGGGUGAACGAGCGACGCCGCGUGCGGGAUGAAGGGUUUCGGCUUGUAAACCGCUUUUCUUUGGGAAGAAGGUCUGUCCCGUGCAGAUGGGCUCGACGGUACCAGAGGAAUAAGCCUCGGCUAACUCCGUGCCAGCAGCCGCGGUAAGACGGAGGAGGCAAGCGUUGUUCGGAAUUAUUGGGCGUAAAGGGCGCGUAGGCGGAUCGGUAAGUCUGGCGUGAAAUCUCCACCGCUUAACGGGAAGCGGAGCCGAAACGACCGAUCUGGAGGGACGUAGGGGGACCUGGAACUUCCGGUGGAGCGGUGAAAUGCGUUGAGAUCGGAAGGAACGCCCGUGGCGAAAGCGAGGUCCUGGACGUCUGCUGACGCUGAGACGCGAAAGCUAGGGGAGCAAACGGGAUUAGAUACCCCGGUAGUCCUAGCCGUAAACGAUGGGCACUAAGUAGAGGGGUUUU
rnacentral:rRNA from 1 species